GAGUAACGGAGGAGCACGAAGGUUAGCUAAUCCUGGUCGGACAUCAGGAGGUUAGUGCAAUGGCAAAAGCUAGCUUGACUGCGAGAGUGACGGCUCGAGCAGGUACGAAAGUAGGUCAUAGUGAUCCGGUGGUUCUGAAUGGAAGGGCCAUCGCUCAACGGAUAAAAGGUACUCCGGGGAUAACAGGCUGAUACCGCCCAAGAGUUCAUAUCGACGGCGGUGUUUGGCACCUCGAUGUCGGCUCAUCACAUCCUGGGGCUGAAGUAGGUCCCAAGGGUACGGCUGUUCGCCGUUUAAAGUGGUACGCGAGCUGGGUUUAGAACGUCGUGAGACAGUUCGGUCCCUAUCUGCCAUGGGCGUAGGAAAAUUGAGAGGGUUUGCUUCUAGUACGAGAGGACCGAAGUGAACGCACCGCUGGUGUUCGGGUUGUGAUGCCAAUUGCAUUGCCCGGUAGCUACGUGCGGAAUAGAUAAGUGCUGAAAGCAUCUAAGCACGAAACUAGCCUCGAGAUGAGUUUUCCCUGAUGAGAAUCAGUAAGGUCCGUUUGAGACUAAGACGUAGAUAGGUCAGGUGUGUAAGUGUAGUGAUACAUUGAGCUAACUGAUACUAAUGAACCGAGAGUCUUAACCUUACAACUC
rnacentral:rRNA from 1 species